UCGAUACCAGAAACAUUUUGAAAUUUCGCGUUCGCAUUCCCAGUAGCUGAUUAACGAAUUAACCAUUCUCUCUUGUUUAAUAAUAAAUAGUCUAGGUUGUUAGUAUUUCGGCUACUUCUCAAAACCUAAAGCGCCUAGCAACAAAAAGAAAGGCCGAUAAUGGAAUGUUGAGAGCCCCGACAACAAUAAGGUUAAUGCCACCUACUGCCACCCUUUCUAGCGACCUUUGCCGACCAUAUAAUGACACUUGGGUUUGUUGGGUUCACUCACGAGCCGCCCUCAAAGAACCGCUCAUAAAGGUAUGAGCAUGUGGGGUUUUUGGUUCAUUUAGUUCUUAUCAGCCCUACUAGUUCCCUUUUGCUCGCUUGCAGCUCUCCAUCUCUCUUCUUCCUUGUCUAUCUGUCUCGCUCUGCGCACAUACAGCAGCUUAAGAAAUAUAUACAAAUCUUCGACAAUGGCCAACAACGAAAAAUGUCAUCGACCCGCGUCAAUGGAGCGGCGAAGCAAUGGAGCAAUCGGCCAAGCGAAAGAGUCACAUGGUAGAUGGGAUGAAAUUAUAAUAAAUUUAAGGUACAAUAACCCACCGACAAGCAGUAGUGACCCCGGAUUUUUGUGAUAAAUGUAGUAUUUACAAUUAUAUUAUAUACCAUAAAACCUGAGGUUACUUUGAUUAGAGAGAAUACUGCAAAUAGGAUAGCGAGUAAGAUAGGCAUGUAUAAGCGCCUUAUAACUUCUUAAUUACAAUGGAAUGGCUUGAUAGCUUUGGUCAGUGAUCAAAAAUAUACACAAUUAAGCUUUUACAUAGUACAUAGCUUUCAACGAAUGUAAUGAAGCUGCACAGAAAAAACUAAAUUGUACUUGAUUAAAGUAAGUGCGUACUAAUUCAACAAGAUCUGAGCUUAAGAUGACUAUUAAGUCUCAUAAAUUUUGUAAUCAAACAAACCAUCACAUCAGAGAUGUUAAAGUGCACUGAAUGCUUGGUAACUUAAUAAACGGUGUAGUGUGUUCCAGGAACCAAUUCUAAUAAAUCAAAAUACUAAAAUAUAUUCUUUCCCCUCGCUAAAAUUGUUUAGCGAAGACAAAAACCCACGCACUGCACAAAGACAAAAUCGAGAUAGCGACAGAGAGGGACAUUAAAAAAAAGCCCGCUGGGGAAGAGAGAGCGAACGAGUAAAAAGCGACGCGCAGAAUAAGCAAAGGACGACCUUCAAAUAAUGUUGAAUUUUGUACGCAAACGACCUUGCACAAACCAACAACAACCAUAGCGACGACGGCGGCGGCGAAGCAAACCACGAAGAAGAAGACGCAGCACCGAAGUCAGCUCCACACACACCCGCGAGAGACACACAUACACAAAGUAAAACGUACACAUGCGCUGCCGGCACACAAAAGAUGGGGCAGACAGAGAAGAGAGAUGGCGAGAGAGCGCUUAGCGCUCGCUAUCUUUUUUUGUGGUUUAAGAAAGAACAGAAAUACUCUUGAUGAUGUAUGUAUGCAUGUGCGAAAUUGGCAGAAAAUAAAAUAAGCAAAAUUGUCUUUCCAUAUACAUGCAUAUGUUUGUAAAUGCAUACAAAUAUGAAUAAAGAAAUAGGAAUAAGAUUGACUCUCAGCUAAAGUUGCGUGGGAGCGCCGCAAAGGAGUUUCGUCAGGGGACGGGAAAGGAACUACUCGUGCAUAUGUAUGUACACACAUUCGUCAAUACUCAUGAUGAUGGCCCGACAAAUGCAGCCAACCAUGGUUUCGAUAAUGGCUUCUCUUUUCGGCCUCUCGGUUUCCGGUUUUUACCCUUGUCCCUCUCGUAGUUGUAUCCCGAGGAUAGAACUGUACCCAUACAGAUGGGGCCUCGUUGUUGUUGCUCACGAAUUAAGAGCACCAUCGGGCGGAAGUGUUGUUACACUUGGAGCUUGUUCUUCAUGCAGCGGUACCGAUUGAUGGAACCCAAAUAUAAUUGAGCGAUUCCUGGUGUAGCAUUGGGUCUUGCACAGGAGAAAAGGAUUUUAAAAGCCAUGCGACCGCAUGUACAAAAUUAAUAUUGAUCAUUUCGAGACUUUACGAUGGACAAAACCAGAGACUGCUAUUCUUAUGAACAGCCUAAAAGUGGUGAAUUUGCUCAAGAAUGUAAAUAAAAAAAGGAUAACAUGAAAAA